UUCUAUCUAAUAGUGAUGGGUCGUUCGCCAAUGAGUCGGUUCUAAGAGCCGGCUCUUGUAGGUUAACGUUGGGAGCCCGGCUCUUGUCGGUUAACGUUGGGAGCCCGGCUCUUGUCGGUUAACGUUGGGAGCCCGGCUCUUGUCGGUUAACGUUGGGAGCCCGGCUCUUGUCGGUUAACGUUGGGAGCCCGGCUCUUGUCGGUUAACGUUGGGAGCCCGGCUCUUGUCGGUUAACGUUGGGAGCCCGGCUCUUGUCGGUUAACGUUGGGAGCCCGGCUCUUGUCGGUUAACGUUGGGAGCCCGGCUCUUGUCGGUUAACGUUGGGAGCCCGGCUCUUGUCGGUUAACGUUGGGAGCCCGGCUCUUGUCGGUUAACGUUGGGAGCCCGGCUCUUGUCGGUUAACGUUGGGAGCCCGGCUCUUGUCGGUUAACGUUGGGAGCCCGGCUCUUGUCGGUUAACGUUGGGAGCCCGGCUCUUGUCGGUUAACGUUGGGAGCCCGGCUCUUGUCGGUUAACGUUGGGAGCCCGGCUCUUGUCGGUUAACGUUGGGAGCCCGGCUCUUGUCGGUUAACGUUGGGAGCCCGGCUCUUGUCGGUUAACGUUGGGAGCCCGGCUCUUGUCGGUUAACGUUGGGAGCCCGGCUCUUGUCGGUUAACGUUGGGAGCCCGGCUCUUGUCGGUUAACGUUGGGAGCCCGGCUCUUGUCGGUUAACGU